GCCAGCAGCCAUAUCACUCUGCACCUCACAACUGUCAGCCCACCGAAGCUCAGAAGGUGUGAGCCUGGUCAGUACCUGGAUAGGAGACCUCCUGGGAAAAGCUAAGGUUGCUGCUGGAA
rnacentral:rRNA from 1 species